ACCGGGAAGAUGGGAUAGGGGUAAGCGUGGUUGCCUCUCACCCAGUCGGCCUGGGUUCGAUCCCAGAAGGUCCCGGUG
rnacentral:tRNA from 1 species